rnacentral:lncRNA from 10 species
GAAAUAAAGAAAGGGGAAGGUCAAGGUCUCAAUGCUGAGGUAGCCACAUGUGGCUAUUUAAAGACUUUGGGAGCUGGGUAGCAAAGCACAUAAAGGUAAAUAAACAGCAGUGGCACUCUCUUAGCUGUAAUGAGGCUGCAGCUGGUAACCACCUCCCUCCCGCUCCAGUAUCAGAAGGCUCUGAAAGAACAGGAGUGGAAGGAAAGCAAACAUCGAAGAAAUGAGGACCCCAGAACAGAAUUAAUGGGGUGAGUAUAACAAAUAUAACCCAGCCUGGAAGCACAAUCCUCAUCUUUUAUGCCAAAUUACUCUUUGGUUGCACUCAAUACCUGCUGGUAGAGCUAAUACCCACUACAAUUAGGGCCAUGAUUUAUUGAGUGCACACUCUGUGCAUCAGGACGGUGGCAGAGCUGUUAAGAGUGUGGAUUCUGGAGUCGGACAACUUGGUUUGAAUGCUGACUCUGCUACUCAUUCACUGUGUGACCUUGGGCAAGUUACCUAACCUCUCGAAACUCGUUUUCCUUGUCUGUAAAAUGGGCUUAGUAAUAGGACCCUCCCUAUAGGUUGCCAUGAGGGUUCAUAAUGCUUAUACUAUGUUUACCAAGUACAUGAUACAUCGUAAACACUUAACAAAUGUUAGCAGCUAUGAUGACGAUGACACACUUUUCAAACGUAAUUUAAUCACCACCGCAGCCCCGUAAGUAGGUCACAGAGCUAGUAAGGGGCAGAGACAGAUUUUAAACCCAGGUCUUUUCAUCAAACCUGGGUUGGAGGUCCCAGAACGAAUAAUGUAUGUAAAAUGUUAGACUCUAGCCAGGCAUGGUGGCUCACAAGUAUAAUUCCAGCUCUUUGGGAGGCCAGUGAAGGAGGAUCAUUAGAGGCCAGGAGUUUGAGACCAGCCUGGGCAAUAUAGCAAGACCCCAUCUCUAUUUUAAAAAACUUUUUUGUAAAGUUAGACUCUAUUUAAAUCCCCUCCUAAUACGUUUUAGGGGAAUCCAAGAAAGAAAAAUGCCGUUCCGGACCGGGCACAGUGGCUCACGCCUGUAAUCCCAGCACUUUGGGAGGCCGAGGCAGGUGGAUCACAAGGUCAAGAGAUCGAGACCAUUCUGGCCAACAUGGUGAAACCCCAUCUCUACUAAAAAUACAAAAAUUAGCCGGGCGUGGUGGUGUGCACCUGUAGCCCCAGCUACUCGGGAGGCUGAGGCAGAAGAACUGCUUGAACCAGGGAGGUGGAGGUUGCAAUGAGCUGAGAUCGUGCCACUGCACUCCAGCCUGGCGACAGAGCGAGACUCCAUAAAAAAAAAGAAAAAAGAAAAAUGCAGUUCCCUCUCUUUUAAAUCAUGAGAACUGGCCAGGUGCAGUGGCUCACGCUGGUAAUCCCAGCACUUUGGGAGGCCGAGGCAGGUGGAUCACUUGAGGUCAGGAGUUCAAGACCAGCCUGGCCAACACAGUGAAACCCCAUCUCUACUAAAAAUACAAAAAUUAGCUGGGAAUAGUGGUGGGUGCCUGUAAUCUCAGCUACUCGGGAGGCUGAGGCAGGAGAAUCACUUGAACCCAGGGGGUGGAGGUCACAGUGACCUGAGAUCACGUCACUGCACUCCAGCCUAGGCGACAAGAGCGAGACUCCAUCUCAAAAAAAUAUAAACUAUGAGAACUAAAACCCCAUGGUAGACAUGAGCUCAGAGUCUUCUCCAGUUCUGCUUCUUGGAAGACAGACCAAGGAGAGCAGCCAGGGUGGCUUCUCUACCAACAGCCCUUGCUGGUACAGUCUCUGUCCUUUGGCCCCACACUGGCAUCUCCCGAGUGAGGAUGUGUCUUGUCAGUUUUAAAAAAAGCUGCAGCUGCUCCAGGAGGGGCUUUCCCCACUUCUGGGAAGAAGUUCAUUCUGCUGAUCAGACUGCCAAGUGGUUCUGAGUGUUUCCUUUCUGUUCAUGUGGAUUUUGGGGAAAGGCAGAAAAUCUCAGAAUUCGUGGGAGUCUAGGGCAGGGUGGCUAGGGGACCACCUCCAAGUUUUGUGUGUAAAGUUUUAUUGGAACACAGCCACUCCCAUCGGCUCACGUGUCACCUGUGGCUGCUUUUGUGCUAUGACGGCAAGUGGAGCAGUGUUUUUAGAAACAGGUCUCACUUUGUUGCCCAGGCUAGAGUGCAGUAAUGCUCACUGCAGCCUCAACCUACCGGGCUCAGGUGAUCCUCCCAGCUCAGCCUCCCAAAUAGCUGAGACUACAGGUAUGUACCACCACACCUGGCUAAUUUUUUUUUUUUUUGUAUUUUUUUUGUAGAGAUGGAGUUUUGCUAUGUUGUCUAGGCUGGUCUUAAACUCCUGAGCUCAAGUGAUCCUCCUGCCUUAGCCUCUCAAAUUCUAGGGAUUACAGGUAUAAGCCAUGGUGCCCAGCCCAAAGCCUACACUUUAAGCACUCUUUUUUUUUUUUGAGACGGAGUUUGUCUCAGAGACCGCAUGGCCUGUACAGCCUGAACUAUUUAGCACCUGGCUCUUUACAGAAGAAGCAUGCUGGCCCUCGGUCUGGAGCCUGCAGCAGAGGUGGCAAGGAAUGCACACUUGUGAUAGGCUCGGCUGAGGAGCUGCCUCUUGCUCAAAGCUCAGUUCAGCAGUGGCCAGAAGGGAAGGCUCAAGCCGUGAAGGGUCACAUAUUUCAACACACAGUUACUGAGCACCUGCUAUGUACAUAUCAGACACGGUGGCAGAGAUAAAUUAGUGCAAAUGUAUAAUACGG